CUGCGGUGAUGACUUUCUUAGGACACCUUUGGAUUUACCGUGAAAAUAAAACACAUUCUAAGCAGC